UAAGGAAUAUUGGUCAAUGGACGCAAGUCUGAACCAGCCAUGCCGCGUGAAGGAUGAAGGUCCUCUGGAUUGUAAACUUCUUUUAUCUGGGACGAAACACUUCUUUUCUAAGAGGCCUGACGGUACCAGAUGAAUAAGCACCGGCUAACUCCGUGCCAGCAGCCGCGGUAAUACGGAGGGUGCAAGCGUUAUCCGGAUUCACUGGGUUUAAAGGGUGCGUAGGUGGGUAUGUAAGUCAGUGGUGAAAUCCCCGAGCUUAACUUGGGAACUGCCAUUGAUACUAUAUAUCUUGAAUACCGUAGAGGUAAGCGGAAUAUGUCAUGUAGCGGUGAAAUGCUUAGAUAUGACAUGGAACACCAAUUGCGAAGGCAGCUUACUAUGCGGUGAUUGACACUGAGGCACGAAAGCGUGGGUAGCAAACA
rnacentral:rRNA from 1 species